rnacentral:rRNA from 1 species
UACAGAGGUCUCAAGCGUUGUUCGGAUUCAUUGGGCGUAAAGAGCGUGUAGGCGGCCCGAUAAGUCCGCUGUGAAAGUCCAGGGCUCAACCCUGGGAUGCCGGUGGAUACUGUCGGGCUCGAGUCCGGAAGAGGAGUGUGGAAUUCCUGGUGUAGCGGUGAAAUGCGUAGAUAUCUGGAGGAACACCCGUGGCGAAAGCGAGUUACUGGGACGGUACUGACACUGAGGAACGAAAGCCUGGGGAGCGAAAGGG